AACGAACGCUGGCGGCGUGGAUAAGACAUGCAAGUCGAACGGGAUUAUUUUUGUAGCAAUACAGAAAUAAUUCAGUGGCGAACGGGUGCGUAACACGUGGGCAAUCUGCCGAAAGUGGGGGAUAGCUCGCCGAAAGGCGAAUUAAUACCGCAUGUGGUGAGGGACGACAUCUCCCUGAAAUCCAAAGGCCGGGGCAACCUGGCGCUUUUUGAGGAGCCCGCCGGCCUAUCAGCUAGUUGGCGAGGUAACGGCUCACCAAGGCUAAGACGGGUAGCUGAUCUGAGAGGAUGAUCAGCCACACUGGAACUGA
rnacentral:rRNA from 1 species